rfam:Drosophila mojavensis strain TSC#15081-1352.22 Ctg01_10589, whole genome shotgun sequence.
GGCCACUGCUGUUACCCGAGACUCACUCACAGAUAAUAGCACAAGGUUUCGUCCGCUGUAAUCUUAGCGGCCGCCUCGGAGUAUGCGGCGGUUGCUGUAAGGCCAACGGAACAGCAAUGCCAUUUAACGCUAGACUGUUGUUUGCCAUCGAGUCAAGGCAGAUGAUUUAGGCGUGGGCGCACAAUUUUAACUAAUCAAUGAAACAUAGUGCUAUUGUCGCCCCAAAACACAGCAGUGGCCAAGGCAGACGUUGUUGCCACAUUGAUGACGUCUUUAGUAAUCUGAGUGCUG